rnacentral:rRNA from 1 species
GAUGAACGCUGGCGGCAGGCUUAACACAUGCAAGUCGAGCGGAUGAAGGUAGCUUGCUACCGGAUUCAGCGGCGGACGGGUGAGUAAUGCUUAGGAAUCUGCCUAUUAGUGGGGGACAACGUUCCGAAAGGAGCGCUAAUACCGCAUACGUCCUACGGGAGAAAGCAGGGGACCUUUGGGCCUUGCGCUAAUAGAUGAGCCUAAGUCGGAUUAGCUAGUUGGUAGGGUAAAGGCCUACCAAGGCGACGAUCUGUAGCGGGUCUGAGAGGAUGAUCCGCCACACUGGGACUGAGACACGGCCCAGACUCCUACGGGAGGCAGCAGUGGGGAAUAUUGGACAAUGGGGGGAACCCUGAUCCAGCCAUGCCGCGUGUGUGAAGAAGGCCUUUUGGUUGUAAAGCACUUUAAGCGAGGAGGAGGCUACCUAGAUUAAUACUUUAGGAUAGUGGACGUUACUCGCAGAAUAAGCACCGGCUAACUCUGUGCCAGCAGCCGCGGUAAUACAGAGGGUGCGAGCGUUAAUCGGAUUUACUGGGCGUAAAGCGUGCGUAGGCGGCCAAUUAAGUCAAAUGUGAAAUCCCCGAGCUUAACUUGGGAAUUGCAUUCGAUACUGGUUGGCUAGAGUAUGGGAGAGGAUGGUAGAAUUCCAGGUGUAGCGGUGAAAUGCGUAGAGAUCUGGAGGAAUACCGAUGGCGAAGGCAGCCAUCUGGCCUAAUACUGACGCUGAGGUACGAAAGCAUGGGGAGCAAACAGGAUUAGAUACCCUGGUAGUCCAUGCCGUAAACGAUGUCUACUAGCCGUUGGGGCCCUUGAGGCUUUAGUGGCGCAGCUAACGCGAUAAGUAGACCGCCUGGGGAGUACGGUCGCAAGACUAAAACUCAAAUGAAUUGACGGGGGCCCGCACAAGCGGUGGAGCAUGUGGUUUAAUUCGAUGCAACGCGAAGAACCUUACCUGGCCUUGACAUACAGAGAACUUUCCAGAGAUGGAUUGGUGCCUUCGGGAACUCUGAUACAGGUGCUG